UUUCCGUAGGUGAACCUGCGGAAGGAUCAUUAAGGUGAGUACCGUGUGCGGUGGAUAUAACAACUGCUGGAAAGUCGGACUUGGGCCGGCAGGCCCAAUGAGGAUAAAGAUAAACCAGAUAUGAUAUAUUUGAUGAUAAUUUGAGAAAAGACAACUUUUAACAAUGGAUCUCUUGGCUCUU
rnacentral:misc_RNA from 1 species